AAAGCAGGAGCCAGUAGCCAAGAAGCCACUUGAGGAAAGGUGUUGUCUGAUGUUUGGUGCCACGGCGAGAUGCGCCGCUGCGUGAUGGAGACCUCGUGCCAGAAAGGCCCCAUCCCCCUGCGGGCAUCCUUUCUGCGAGGGACACGCUUUUGUUUCUUACCAUGGUUUCCCAAAGGAGUGGGAAGGCACAGGAGCGGGAUGACCUCUUUCUCUUCCCAUUUAGCUGUGUGGGAAGCGGACAAACAUCCCAAUGCUCUGGUUUAACUGUCCUUACCAUGACUUCAGGAGGGAUCUAAUCAAAGCUAAGAUCAUUACACAGCAUUGGACUAUCUCCUUUCAGAGCCUCCCGAGGGCUUCCCAACUUCUCCCGUAGCGCCAGUCCAUCUCCGCAUCUCCUCCCGCUGCUGAGGUCUGCAGCAAGAUGCUGUCACUGUGAUGAGCCAGAGCGUGGGCUGUAGCUUCAGAUCUGUGAUGGCCUUCCCAGCUGGGCAAUGGACCUACCUCGCCGUUUGCUGCUGCCAUCCAUCACUGCAGCGAUGAAAAGCAGCCCCGCGCCGGCCGGCGGCAGCCGAUGUCUUGGCUGGGCCCAUGUGCUCCUCUGGCACUGGGAACUCAUUUCAAAGGCCAAGGAAGAAAGGCGGCCCCAGGAGCUGUGUAAAACGAACCAAACCCCAUCAAUGUGCGAUUUCUCCUGCCAGGCACUGAGCGUCGGCAGUAACGCCUAACAAAGCACCACGAAUUUGAAACCAAGCUCCCCUCCCCUUCUCAGUGCCAUAAAUCACUUUCCUUCUGUGCAUUCAUCUGCAGGCCAUACCACUUCUUGCCAAGGCUUUUGCACUGGAAGAACUAAAAUGCAGUGGAGAAGCCUCAAAAAGAGGCAAGAGCCUUAUUUUCUUGUGUCCGUCUCAUUUUCUCACCUCUGUGGCACCAUCUGUUGUCAGAGGUCCGUCAUUUUAAAGCCGUGUUGAAGUAAAAGAGCUGUGCCUACAGGAGCUAAAUUAGUGUCCGAGGGCUGGGAUUUCUCUUCCAGCAGGAUGAAGUCUGGAGAUGUGAUGAUGCUCUGUGAUGGUCCCAUGCAGUUCUGGGGACACUGGGGAAGAUGCUGCACGCUUCCAUGUAAGCUAUAAAUAUAUGUUUAAAUGGGUAAACACCUCGUGUAAAUGAAGUGCAAAAGUCAAUCAUGUGAAUUCACACUUAAGCUGUGUUUUUAAGCACAGAAAUAAUCCCUUUGGACUGGGAACCCCAUUCCAGCACCUUGUUAGAGCAGAGCUAGCUCGGGGCUUUCACUGCAAGACAAAGUCCUUAAGCCGUGCAUGCCACUAAUAGCUGAAACCCCCGAAUUGGCCUUUUCAAUUUAGAUUUGCCAGCUUUGCUUGUCUUAUACCCUAUAUCUAGAUAAGCUGCAAAGUCUUGGGCAAUGCUCAUUGCUUGGGAAAAAGCUCACUGGAAGCUUAUUUCUGUGGGAAUGGACCAAGGCAGUGUGUGGAGUGGGUGUUUUUCUGCCUCUGGUGGGGGUCUUGGCAUGGGGACACCAGCCCCACACACCACUUCGCUGCGCAGAGGCGAUUUUGCAGGGAAAGGCAACAGCAGCUGCUGCUGGAGCUGGUUGUUAUAACAAAGCGAGCGUCACGGUUCUGCAGAAUAAACGGAAAUGAUGGAGCUGCUCGCCAGCAGGUUAGGAAUUCCCUGAAAAAUGGGAUCAGCAGCACAUAGGGCU